rnacentral:rRNA from 1 species
UACGUAGGGUGCGAGCGUUAAUCGGAAUCACUGGGCUUAAAGGGCGCGUAGGCGGGUGCUCAAGUCCGGGGUGAAAUCCUCCAGCUCAACUGGAGAACUGCCUCGGAUACUGGGUGUCUCGAGGGUGGUAGGGGUAUGCGGAACUAUCGGUGGAGCGGUGAAAUGCGUUGAUAUCGAUAGGAACUCCGGUGGCGAAGGCGGCAUACUGGACCACAUCUGACGCUGAGGCGCGAAAGCCAGGGGAGCAAACGGG